rnacentral:rRNA from 1 species
UACGGGGGGAGCAAGCGUUGUUCGGAUUUACUGGGCGUAAAGGGCGCGUAGGCGGCGCAACAAGUCACUUGUGAAAUCUCCGGGCUUAACUCGGAGCGGCCAAGUGAUACUGUCGUGCUAGAGUGCGGAAGGGGCAACUGGAAUUCUCGGUGUAGCGGUGAAAUGCGUAGAUAUCGAGAGGAACACCUGCGGCGAAGGCGGGUUGCUGGGCCGACACUGACGCUGAGGCGCGAAAGCCAGGGGAGCGAACAGG